rnacentral:tRNA from 1 species
AGAAAGGUAAGCUAAACNCUUAAGCUACUAGGUUCAUACCCUAUUUAUAGAAAAUUUUUCUCCUUUCUA